UACAAAUGGCCAGCAAGAUUUAACUAUGCCAAAUAGCAAAUGUAUUGACUAGAGCUCUUUUUGGCUUCGUUUCGCUUACUGUGUGCAAUUAUUGAGCUUCUCAUAUAUUCCGUUCCAAUUUAUUUGAAUGGGCGGAUUAAACUUAUGGUGCAAAUAACAUCUUAUCCCCUUCCUUGAGAACUGACGUAUUGCAGCAUUCUGAUAGCAGUUAAGCUACUGUAAUUAUCGAAAAAGCAAAAGAUGGUUGGAUAUGCCCAAUAUUAGCACAGGAUUCCCAGAUAGCAGAUGCAAGAAUUUUUUCUCCAGUUGCUUCAAGCUCAUCAUCGAACUCAAGAUCGUUGCAUUCUGACACAGGAAGAAUAGUUUCGGAUACCUUUAUAAUCGUUCCGCCUCAACUGGAAUCAUUUUCCCGGAUACCUUCGAAUCGCUAAGCAUCAUCUAUCUCAUUUACCUGGGCGCGACACCUCCCACUGGAAAUCAAAACCCUUCUGAUGUGGCUGAUCACAUAGCUGAUUUCUUCAUCAAAAAUCUCUUCAGACAG
rnacentral:sRNA from 2 species